rnacentral:rRNA from 1 species
UGAACGCUGGCGGUAGGCCUACCACAUGCACGUCGAACGGCAGCACAGUAAGAGCUUGCUCUUACGGGUGGCGAGUGGCGGACGGGUGAGGAAUACAUCGGAAUCUACUUUUUCGUGGGGGAUAAUGUAGGGAAACUUACGCUAAUACCGCAUACGACCUACGGGUGAAAGCAGGGGAUCUUCGGACCUUGCGCGAUUGAAUGAGCCGAUGUCGGAUUAGCUAGUUGGCGGGGUAAAGGCCCACCAAGGCGACGAUCCGUAGCUGGUCUGAGAGGAUGAUCAGCCACACUGGAACUGAGACACGGUCCAGACUCCUACGGGAGGCGGCAGUGGGGAAUAUUGGACAAUGGGCGCAAGCCUGAUCCAGCCAUACCGCGUGGGUGAAGAAGGCCUUCGGGUUGUAAAGCCCUUUUGUUGGGAAAGAAAAGCAGCAGGUUAAUACCCCGCUGUUCUGACGGUACCCAAAGAAUAAGCACCGGCUAACUUCGUG